rnacentral:ncRNA from 1 species
GUCAUCUUGACGGGGUGCACGGUUGGCUGAGAUCGCUGCGAAGCAGCGGAACCCGAAGAACCUGAACUGGGUAAUUCCAGCGUAGGAAUCGAGAAAAAGAAUCCG